UACGUAGGGACCGAGCGUUGUCCGGAAUCAUUGGGCGUAAAGAGCGUGUAGGCGGCCUUUUUAAGUCCUGCGUGAAAUCCUGCGGCUCAACCGCAGACGGUCGUGGGAAACUGGAAGGCUAGAGUGCGGGAGAGGAGAGUGGAAUUCCCGGUGUAGCGGUGAAAUGCGCAGAUAUCGGGAAGAACACCCGUGGCGAAGGCGGUCUC
rnacentral:rRNA from 1 species